rnacentral:rRNA from 1 species
GAUGAGCGCUGGCGGCGUGCCUAAUACAUGCAAGUCGAGCGAACGGACGAGAAGCUUGCUUCUCUGAUGUUAGCGGCGGACGGGUAAGUAACACGUGGAUAACCUACCUAUAAGACUGGGAUAACUUCGGGAAACCGGAGCUAAUACCGGAUAAUAUUUUGAACCGCAUGGUUCAAAAGUGAAAGACGGUCUUGCUGUCACUUAUAGAUGGAUCCGCGCUGCAUUAGCUAGUUGGUAAGGUAACGGCUUACCAAGGCAACGAUGCAUAGCCGACCUGAGAGGGUGAUCGGCCACACUGGAACUGAGACACGGUCCAGACUCCUACGGGAGGCAGCAGUAGGGAAUCUUCCGCAAUGGGCGAAAGCCUGACGGAGCAACGCCGCGUGAGUGAUGAAGAUCUUCGGAUCGUAAAACUCUGUUAUUAGGGAAGAACAUAUGUGUAAGUAACUGUGCACAUCUUGACGGUACCUAAUCAGAAAGCCACGGCUAACUACGUG